UACGAGGGGGGCAAGCGUUGUUCGGAAUUAUUGGGCGUAAAGGGUGCGUAGGCGGUCUGAUAAGUCAUCUGUGAAAUCUAUGGGCUCAACCCAUAGUCUGCAGGCGAAACUGUCGGGCUUGAGUAUGGGAGAGGUGAGUGGAAUUUCCGGUGUAGCGGUGAAAUGCGUAGAUAUCGGAAGGGACACCUGUGGCGAAAGCGGCUCACUGGACCAUUACUGACGCUGAUGCACGAAAGCUAGGGGAGCAAACAGG
rnacentral:rRNA from 1 species